GUUGUACUCCCUCCAUCUCAAAAUUCUUGUCUUAGAUUUGUCUAGAUACGGAUGUAUCAAAUCUUACAUCCGUAUCUAGACAAAUCUAAGACAAGAAUUUUGGGACGAAGGGAGUAGAAU
rfam:Triticum aestivum genome assembly, contig: Triticum_aestivum_CS42_TGACv1_scaffold_499480_6BL